AGUUAAUUAUAUUAUGGCUCUAGCAACAAUUGGGCAAAAUUGACAGGAAAACAUAACUUAAAAUGUGGUCUGUGGUCUGCAGUGACAAAAAACAUCUGGCAACUAUCUGUGGUUAAAUUUUAAAAUGGUAUUUUAGGUUAAGUAAAAUUCUUUAAUAACUAAAAAAAAUAAAAUUUCUGUGAUUUUAAAAUAUGAUACAAAAGAGAUUUUUAAGGUUCUUAUUAAUAAGUAAAAAUUCCAGAAGCUAUUUAAGUUGUCGAGGGAUUAGUAAAUAUAUACAACAAGAUAUAUCAUCCAAGAGUAUUAGACAAACAUUCUUGGAUUACUUUAUUAAGGAAAAAAAUCAUGUUUUUGUCAAAUCUAGUCCUGUUGUUCCAUUUUGCGACCCAACAGUUCCGUUUGUAAAUGCAGGAAUGAAUCAGUUCAAAGGCAUUUUUUUGGGGACACAAGUUCCUCACUUCCCAAGAGUAGCUAAUAGUCAAAAAUGUAUUAGAAUAGGAGGGAAACACAACGAUUUAAAUAUAGUUGGAAAAGAUGGCUAUCAUCAUACAUUCUUUGAAAUGUUGGGUAAUUGGUCAUUUGGAGAUUGUUUUAAAGAAGAGGCAUGCAAAAUGGCAUGGGAACUGCUAACUAAGAUAUAUAAAAUACCACCUGCUCAUUUAUAUACUACUUACUUUGCAGGAGACCAACAAUUAGGAUUAGCUCCAGAUUUAGAAACAAAAAACAUUUGGAAAUCAAUUGGGCUUAAAGAUGAUAGGAUUUUACCGUUUGGUUUAGAGGAUAAUUUCUGGGAAAUGGGUGCAACUGGUCCUUGUGGCCCAUGCACAGAAAUUCAUUUGGAUCAUACUGGACACAUAAACAGAUCUCAACUUGUUAAUAUGGGUUUACAUGAUUUAACAGAACUAUGGAAUAUAGUAUUUAUAGAAUAUAAUAGGUGUCCAAAUGGUGUAAUUGAUAAUCUUCCAAAGAAGCACAUUGAUACUGGGUUAGGUUUAGAAAGACUAACUUGUGCUCUUCAAAAUAAAUUAAGUAGUUACGAUACAGAUCUGUUUGAUUAUCUAAUUAAUGCUAUACAUAAGAAUUGUAGCAAUAUACCAAAAUAUUCUGGAAAAUUUGGAGAACAAGACUGGAAUCACCUUGAUACAUCAUAUAGAAUAUUAUCUGAUCACACAAGAACGAUAGUAGCAUCAUUGGCUGAUGGAAUAAUACCAGAAGAAAAUCAGAAACUUAGAAGGAUAUUAAGAAGAUGUUUUAACUUAAGUCAAAGAGUUUUUGGUAAAGAACAAGGACUUGUCACUGAAUUAUCAAAUUAUGUUGUUGAAAACUUAGGAGGAAUAUAUCCUGAAAUGGAAAAAAAUAUAAAACAGGUUCAUCAUAUCAUAAAGUUUGAAGAAGAACUAUAUAAAACAUUAAGAGAGUCGGCUGAGAAAGAACUUAAAAAACUCUCAUUGGGUAAUCUAAAUCUAGAUAGUAAUGAUUUAGUUGAAAUUACUCCAAGUUUUGUAUUGGCAUAUAAAGAACUUCAUAGUAUUUUGCCCAAUGAAAUAGAUGGAAAUAUGGCUUUUAAGUUAUAUGAUACAUAUGGAUUGGAUGCAGACAGCAUACAACAAUUAUCUGAUAUUCUUCAUAUUUCAUUUAACUCAUCUAGUUAUGCAAAAAAGAUGAAUGAAGUUAAAUUAAAAUCCAAAGAAUCUAGACAAAUUUAUUUGAAUAGUCCUUUUAAUUCUUUAGCAAAUAGUGAUUUAAUGAAAACCGACGAUUCAGCAAAAUACUCAUAUGAAAAAAAUAACUCUAAAUAUACAUUUUCCAAUAUAUCUUCUAAAGUUUUAAGAAUAAUAGAGAAUAAUCAAUUUGUAAAUAGAGCUAAAAAUGGAGCUUCAUGUUCAUUAAUAUUGGAUAAAACAAAUUUCUAUUGUGAAGCUGGUGGCCAAGAAUCAGAUAAGGGUCAGAUACAGUUUCAAAAUGCUGUAUUUCAGAUUGACUCAGUUUUAAAUAUUAAUAAUUAUAUCAUUCACAAGGGUUAUCUAGAAGGUGAUGAUAUUGAAGUUGGUAAUGAAGGUAUAAUGAUAAUUGAUUCAGAAUCAAGACUGAAAUUUAUGCAAAACCACACUAGUGUACAUCUGUUAAAUGCAGCAAUAAAAAAAGUCACAAAAGGAAGUUGUCAGAAGUCAAGCAAAGUGACUGAUCAGUAUCUAAAUUUGGAUGUUGCAAUAUUUGGACCAAAGUUAACCAAAGGACACAUAGAAAAAAUAGAAUGUAUUAUUCAAAAAAUCAUAAAGGAUAAGAUAGAUGUUCAAGUGAAUAUUACAGAUAGUCAGGGUUUAUAUAGCUAUGAAUCUAUUACUUUAAUACCUGGAGAAACUUACCCAGAUAAUAAUAUAAGGAUUGUUGAAAUAACAGAUAGUUCAGAUUUUGUUUCCAGGGAACCAUGCUGUGGCACUCAUGUGUUGAAUACUGAAGAUAUCGAAGAUUUUUGCAUAAUUAGUUCAAAAUCAUUGGGUAGGAGCACUGUUUCAUUACACGCUGUUACUGGUGAAAGAGCAAAAUUAGCUAGAAAAAAUGCUUCAGAACUACAAGAUGAUAUAACAAUUUUGAAAAUGACUCUAAGUGAACAUCUAGAUAAUAUAUGGCAGUUUCAUCUCUUAAACAAAGACUACAUUUUGAUGUUACAGAUAAUACUAUAAUACCUGUGGUAUCUAAGCAUGAUAUUCUUAAUGAUCUUAAUGAGAUAGGAAGGAAAAUAAAUGAAACUGGGCGAAAUAAAUUAAAAAAUUUUAUUGAUCUUGAAAUGCAUGAUGCCUUAAAAUCAAGUAUAUCAUUGACAAAGUCAAAUAAAAAAUAUAUGGUGCAUUAUUUAAGAAGUUCAGUGAUGUUAGAAUCAGUGCCUUUGCAAAAAGCCACUAAAAUGUG
rnacentral:misc_RNA from 1 species